rnacentral:rRNA from 1 species
UACGUAGGGUGCGAGCGUUGUCCGGAAUUACUGGGCGUAAAGAGCUCGUAGGUGGUUUGUCGCGUUGUUCGUGAAAACUCACAGCUUAACUGUGGGCGUGCGGGCGAUACGGGCAGACUGGAGUACUGCAGGGGAGACUGGAAUUCCUGGUGUAGCGGUGGAAUGCGCAGAUAUCAGGAGGAACACCGGUGGCGAAGGCGGCGGGCUGGGCCCUCUCUGACGCGUGAGGCGCGGAAAGCCAGGGGAGCGAACGGG